GAGUUUGAUCGUGGCUCAGAUUGAACGCUGGCGGCAUGCCUUACACAUGCAAGUCGAACGGCAGCACGGGAGCUUGCUCCUGGUGGCGAGUGGCGAACGGGUGAGUAAUGCAUCGGAACGUAUCCUGGAGUGGGGGAUAACGUAGCGAAAGUUACGCUAAUACCGCAUAUUCUGUGAGCAGGAAAGCGGGGGACCUUCGGGCCUCGCGCUCUUGGAGCGGCCGAUGUCGGAUUAGCUAGUUGGUGAGGUAAAGGCUCACCAAGGCGACGAUCCGUAGCAGGUCUGAGAGGAUGAUCUGCCACACUGGAACUGAGACACGGUCCAGACUCCUACGGGAGGCAGCAGUGGGGAAUUUUGGGACAAUGGGGGCAACCCUGAUCCAGCCAUGCCGCGUGAGUGAAG
rnacentral:rRNA from 1 species